UGGGGAAUUUUGGACAAUGGGCGAAAGCCUGAUCCAGCAAUGCCGCGUGUGUGAAGAAGGCCUUCGGGUUGUAAAGCACUUUUGUCCGGAAAGAAAAUCCUUGGCUCUAAUACAGUCGGGGGAUGACGGUACCGGAAGAAUAAGCACCGGCUAACUACGUGCCAGCAGCCGCGGUAAUACGUAGGGUGCAAGCGUUAAUCGGAAUUACUGGGCGUAAAGCGUGCGCAGGCGGUUUGCUAAGACCGAUGUGAAAUCCCCGGGCUCAACCUGGGAACUGCAUUGGUGACUGGCAGGCUAGAGUAUGGCAGAGGGGGGUAGAAUUCCACGUGUAGCAGUGAAAUGCGUAGAGAUGUGGAGGAAUACCGAUGGCGAAGGCAGCCCCUGGGCCAAUACUGACGCUCAUGCACGAAAGCGUGGGGAGCAAACAGGAUUAGAUACCCUGGUAGUCCACGCCCUAAACGAUGUCAACUAGUUGUUGGGGAUUCAUUUCCUUAGUAACGUAGCUAACGCGUGAAGUUGACCGCCUGGGGAGUACGGUCGCAAGAUUAAAACUCAAAGGAAUUGACGGGGUCAUAGCUGUUUCCU
rnacentral:rRNA from 1 species